UACGGGGGGGGCAAGCGUUGUUCGGAAUUACUGGGCGUAAAGGGCUCGUAGGUGGCCAACUAAGUCAGACGUGAAAUCCCUCAGCUUAACUGGGGAACUGCGUCUGAUACUGGAUGGCUUGAGUUUGGGAGAGGGAUGCGGAAUUCCAGGUGUAGCGGUGAAAUGCGUAGAUAUCUGGAGGAACACCGGUGGCGAAGGCGGCAUCCUGGAACAACACUGACACUGAGGAGCGAAAGCCAGGGGAGCAAACGGG
rnacentral:rRNA from 1 species